rnacentral:rRNA from 1 species
GCAGUCGAGCGCGAAUAGGGGCAACCCUUAGUAGAGCGGCGCACGGGUGCGUAACACGUGGAUAAUCUGCCUGGAUGCCUGGGAUAACCAGUCGAAAGAUUGGCUAAUACCGGAUAAGCCCACGGUCUCUUCGGAGACUGAGGGAAAAGGUGGCCUCUGUAUACAAGCUAUCACAACCAGAUGAGUCCGCGGCCCAUCAGCUAGUUGGCGGGGUAAUGGCCCACCAAGGCAACGACGGGUAGCUGGUCUGAGAGGACGAUCAGCCACACUGGAACUGAGACACGGUCCAGACUCCUACGGGAGGCAGCAGUGGGGAAUUUUGCGCAAUGGGCGAAAGCCUGACGCAGCAACGCCGCGUGUGUGAUGAAGGUCUUUGGAUUGUAAAGCACUUUCGACCGGGACGAAACCGUAAAGCCUAAUACGCUUUGCCUUGACGGUACCGGGAGAAGAAGCACCGGCUAACUCUGUGCCAGCAGCCGCGGUAAUACAGAGGGUGCAAGCGUUGUUCGGAAUUAUUGGGCGUAAAGCGCGUGUAGGCGGCUUUGCAAGUCGGGUGUGAAAGCCCUCAGCUCAACUGAGGAAGUGCGCCCGAAACUGCAGAGCUUGAGUGCCGGAGAGGGUGGCGGAAUUCCCCAAGUAGAGG